rnacentral:rRNA from 1 species
GUGCAGCAGGCGAGAAUACUUUACAAUGUGCGAAAGCACGAUAAGGGAACUCUGAGUGCCUCCUAAGGAGGCUGUUCAGGUGUCUAAAAAGCACCUGGAGUAAAGGCUGGGUAAGACCGGUGCCAGCCGCCGCGGUAACACCGGCAGCCCAGGUGGUAGCCACUUUUAUUGGGUCUAAAGCAUCCGUAGCCGGUUGAGUAAGUUCCUUGGGAAAUUUGGCUGCUCAACAGUCAAGCUUCCAGGGAAUACUGCUCGACUUGGGACUGGGAGAGGUCAGAGGUACUCCAGGGGUAGGGGUGAAAUCCAUUAAUCCCUGGGGGACCACCGGUAGCGAAGGCGUCUGACCAGACCAGGUCCGACGGUGAGGGACGAAGGCUAGGGUCGCGAACCGGAUUAGAUACCCGCGUAGU